UUGACAGCUUUGGAAAUGGAUGGCUUCUUUUUCUCCCAAGAAUAGAUGCAGCCUGAUAAACAGAAAUGUAAGAUUGCCCCAACUGCUUCACCAAUAUGCCUUCUCCCUGACAAAGUAAUGGCUGCAAGAAAGAAAGAACAAGUCACCUUUUCCAGCCAGUUCUCUGCUGACACUGCU
ensembl:misc_RNA